CCGCUGCUACUGGCAUCUGCGCCUGCAUUUGCAUUUCCCACCGUACGGAUGAGUUUUCUGUUGAUCCUAAAUGUCUGCGGUGGCAUUUUAUUUACUGCUGCCUCCUCCACCUGCCGGAAGGCGGAAUCCGUGCGGAGGCCCCAGCGAACCACCCGCGCGGCCGUCCUCCGCCGCCAAAAUCUCGGCCCAGCUCUGGUGUCGCUGGAGCGCGAGGGGGAGGGUGGGGCACAGCACGCGGAGGGACGUGGGGCGGAGCGGCGUGCGGCAAGGUGCGCAGUUGGUGACGCUCGAUCCGCUCGAGGAGAUGGUGGAUCCUUGGCCUGGAGAUCUGGCCACCGCCGAUCCCGAGCUGUGUCGCCGUGGCCGCGAGAUCUCCCGUCGCUGCCUACUCCUUUGCAUCCGCGCAGGGAGGUCAAAUCGAGCCCACCGCCGGUAGCCGGAGCACGCUGGCGGCCGUCCGCCCUCGGUCGCGCGGCAGUCCGGCCCUGCAUCCCCUCCGGCCACGCGCGGCGACGUUCACCUGUUCCGGCGGCCACCUCCGAGGAGUGCUCCACCGCGCACACCGGCCGUUGAUUUGUUCUGUCACGCCUACCACGAUUUAGUUGGAUCAGAGUCCAUGCUUUAUCGCCGUGUGGAGACGGAGAUACAUGAGCUUUUCAGUUUUCUCCCAUACCUGGUCACCUGCAAAAAAAAAUCUAGUGCUCUUCUGUUUCUUGAUGAUCUAUAAAGAGUAGGAGUUUGAUUUCCAUUCACUGAGUGUGACAUAUAUUUGAUGACGAAGCACAAAGAAUGCUCAAGACAACGAUCAGUAACAUGCUAGAUUCACUUGAUGGAAAUUAUGAAGAGGUUCCUAAGAGCAUACAGCAGCUUUGUGGAAAAACACUUAUCUUUCGAUUCAAGCUCAGUGACCAUAACUUGACAGAAGGAAAGGAAUACUAUUUAGUUAAAAGAACAUUUGAGCUAAAUGAUAAGCUUGAGAUGAAAUACUUUGAUGAUCAAGCUGAGGUAAACACAUUUUUUAUCCUAAAAUAAUAAUCUUUUUAUGUAUUUGGUACUAUGAUAAUUACCUUUUAAUCUGAUAGGAACGCCUCAUCAAAGGAUCAAUAAACAAAAAAUCAUCAUACAAAGUAUCAUCUGAUCAGGUAAAAUGCAUAUUUUGUAAUCUGAAUAGUUUAUUGAUUCUUACUUUUCAAUAAUUUAAUUCUGUUCUAAUGGUUUCUCCAGGAACAUGUCACAAGUGGUUCACCUAUCAAAAAACUAUCAGGCAUGGUUGCAAACAUUGAAGAAUUGGAGGAUGGCAAACAAAUCAGCAAUUAUAUAAGUGGUUCUAAAGAAAAAGAUUCAACAACAAGGGAGCUCAGUACUAUAAAUAAAAGAAGACGUAGAGCACUGAUAGUGGAAGAUGACUCAGACAAAGAUUUUGAUGGCGAACAGAUCAACAAUGAUACAAUACUUUUACAUUUAUUAUUCAUUAUUAUGACAUUACAUUGAGAAUUUUGCUA